UACGAAGGGGGCUAGCGUUGCUCGGAAUCACUGGGCGUAAAGCGCACGUAGGCGGAUUGUUAAGUCAGGGGUGAAAUCCUGGAGCUCAACUCCAGAACUGCCUUCGAUACUGGCGAUCUCGAGUCCGGAAGAGGUGAGUGGAACUCCUAGUGUAGAGGUGGAAUUCGUAGAUAUUAGGAAGAACACCAGUGGCGAAGGCGGCUCGCUGGUCCGGUACUGACGCUGAGGUGCGAAAGCGUGGGGAGCAAACAGG
rnacentral:rRNA from 1 species